UAGAUUUCUGACAAUGUGUGUGGUGUUUUUCUUUUUGCAUUUGCUAAUUAUCUUGUCUUUGUUUCUCAGUUACAGAUCCUCAGCUCCACGGUACCUGAUUUUCAUUUUCAUCACUUCAUUCAGCUUUCUCAGCAAGGAAGAUUGGCCUCUACACUGGAAGACCUUUGUCAGUGGCAUAUGCAUUUCAGACGACUUCCACCUUCUUUGUACAAGCUUGGUGAAAUACAUCAUCCAGGGAAUUGCCGAUGAGAUCGAGCCCACCUGGAGCAACUGA
rnacentral:lncRNA from 1 species